rnacentral:rRNA from 1 species
AGUGGCGCACGGGUGCGUAACGCGUAUGCAACUUACCCUUUACUGGAGAAUAGCCUUUCGAAAGGAAGAUUAAUACUCCAUAGUAUUUCAAAGAGGCACCUCUUUGUUCUUAAAACUUCGGUGGUAAAGGAUAGGCAUGCGUAAGAUUAGCUAGUUGGUAAGGUAACGGCUUACCAAGGCAACGAUCUUUAGGGGGCCUGAGAGGGUUAUCCCCCACACUGGUACUGAGGCACGGACCAGACUCCUACGGGAGGCAGCAGUGAGGAAUAUUGGUCAAUGGACGAAAGUCUGAACCAGCCAUGCCGCGUGCAGGAUGAAUGCCCUAUGGGUUGUAAACUGCUUUUAUAUAGGAAGAAACCCCUCUACGUGUAGAGGGCUGACGGUACUAUAAGAAUAAGGACCGGCUAACUCCGUGCCAGCAGCCGCGGUAAUACGGAGGGUCCAAGCGUUAUCCGGAUUCAUUGGGUUUAAAGGGUCCGUAGGUGGGAGAAUAAGUCAGUGGUGAAAUCCUGCAGCUUAACUGUAGAACUGCCAUUGAAACUGUUUUUCUUGAGUAUAGAUGAAGUGGGCGGAAUGUGUCAUGUAGCGGUGAAAUGCAUAGAUAUGACACAGAACACCGAUUGCGAAGGCAGCUCACUAAACUAUUACUGACACUGAGGGACGAAAGCGUGGGGAGCGAACAGGAUUAGAUACCCUGGUAGUCCACGCUGUAAACGAUGAUUACUCGGUGCAAGCGACAUACUGUUUGUGCCUAAGCGAAAGCGAUAAGUAAUCCACCU